AGAUAUUAGAUACCUAAUCACGAACUGUUACAAUCCAAAAUAGCACAAACCAGAACCAGACAGCAGAACCAAACAUCAUCAUAACACAGAGAAACAUAAACCCGACCCAGAAACGAAACGGUCUCAAACCUAAUCUAAUUACCAACCACCACCACCGCCUCCUCCGUAACCUCCACCAUCACCACCUCCGUAACCCCCACCCUCACGUCUACCACCUCCACCGUAUCCUCCGCCACCACCUCCUCUCGAGUAGCCACCUCCACCGCCACCACUGUAUCCACCCUCGCGUCUUCCACCUCCGUAACCACCACCACCUCCGUAUCCUCCACCUCCACCGCGGUAUCCACCGCCGCCACCACGGCCACCUCCACCGCCGCCGCUUCCACGGGACUGAGCCUCGUUCACAGUGAUGCUGCGACCAUCGAGAUCCUGUCCGUUCAUCCCUUCGAUGGCAUCCUUCAUGGAUUGCUCAUCCUUGAAAGUGACGAACCCAAACCCCCUUGAUCUUCCAGUCUCACGAUCGUUAAUGAUCUGUUCACCAAAAUCAUAACCAAAUCAGCAAUCAAACCCAACACAUAAGAACAAAAGCAAUCACAAAAAAAAAAAAAAUUCAAAAAUCAAUAUAAAACCGAACGAUCUCCAGGCUCAUAGUAGCGGGAAGAUGAACGUACCGAUUAAGAGGAAAAGCAAGUAACAGUAACAAAGAACAUAGUAACAGUAAUUUCGAAUCAAGUAACAGAGAAACACAGAUCGGAACAGAUCCGUCGAGGAUCAGAUCACCGGGGAGUCUGAUCUCUGCGUGUAACGGACCUUGGAAUCAACAAGUUCGCCGAACUUAGAGAAGGCGGUCUCGAGAGAUCUCUCGUCGG
rnacentral:lncRNA from 1 species